GCAAACUUGGUCAUUUAGAGGAAGUAAAAGUCGUAACAAGGUUUCCGUAGGUGAACCUGCGGAAGGAUCAUUACCGUGUUCAUGGGGCUCGUCCCCGUCUUCACAACCCCCCUGUGAACUUUUAGACCCUAUUCCUUCUGCGUCUUUGGCAACGUCCAGUGGCCAUCGACUUUGUCCCAAGCGCAGAACCAAACCCCGUCGUCCAGUGGUAUUGUCUGAGCGAGAUUUUUACAAACAUGAAAACUUUCAACAACGGAUCUCUUGGUUCCAGCAUCGAUGAAGAACGCAGC
rnacentral:misc_RNA from 1 species